GACGAACGCUGGCGGCGUGCCUAAUACAUGCAAGUAGGACGCAGUUGCGAACGGUUGAGUAACGCGUAGGUAACUACCUAUUAGAGGGGGAUAACUAUUGGACACGAUAGCUAAUACCGCAUACUAGUAGAUGGACCUGCGUUGUAUUAGGUAGUAGAUAGGGUAAUGGCCUACCUAGGCAACGAUACAUAGCCGACAGGAGAGGGUGAUCGGACAAACUGGGACUGAGAAACGGCCCAGACUCCUAAGGGAGGCAGCAGUAGGGAAUCUGCGGAAAUGGGGGGAAACCUGACCGAGCAACGCCGCGUGAGUGAAGAAGGUUUUCGGAUCGUAAAGCGCGGGUGGUAAGGAAGCGGUACUUAACCAGAAAGGGACGGCUAACUACGUGCCAGCCGCCGCGGUAAUAC
rnacentral:rRNA from 1 species